CGAACUGGUGAGUAACACGUGGGAAACCUGCCCAGAAGCGGGGGAUAACACCUGGAAACAGAUGCUAAUACCGCAUAACAACUUGGACCGCAUGGUCCGAGUUUGAAAGAUGGCUUCGGCUAUCACUUUUGGAUGGUCCCGCGGCGUAUUAGCUAGAUGGUGGGGUAACGGCUCACCAUGGCAAUGAUACGUAGCCGACCUGAGAGGGUAAUCGGCCACAUUGGGACUGAGACACGGCCCAAACUCCUACGGGAGGCAGCAGUAGGGAAUCUUCCACAAUGGACGAAAGUCUGAUGGAGCAACGCCGCGUGAGUGAAGAAGGGUUUCGGCUCGUAAAACUCUGUUGUUAAAGAAGAACAUAUCUGAGAGUAACUGUUCAGGUAUUGACGGUAUUUAACCAGAAAGCCACGGCUAACUACGUGCCAGCAGCCGCGGUAAUACGUAGGUGGCAAGCGUUGUCCGGAUUUAUUGGGCGUAAAGCGAGCGCAGGCGGUUUUUUAAGUCUGAUGUGAAAGCCUUCGGCUCAACCGAAGAAGUGCAUCGGAAACUGGGAAACUUGAGUGCAGAAGAGGACAGUGGAACUCCAUGUGUAGCGGUGAAAUGCGUAGAUAUAUGGAAGAACACCAGUGGCGAAGGCGGCUGUCUGGUCUGUAACUGACGCUGAGGCUCGAAAGUAUGGGUAGCAAACAGGAUUAGAUACCCUGGUAGUCCAUACCGUAAACGAUGAAUGCUAAGUGUUGGAGGGUUUCCGCCCUUCAGUGCUGCAGCUAACGCAUUAAGCAUUCCGCCUGGGGAGUACGGCCGCAAGGCUGAAACUCAAAGGAAUUGACGGGGGCCCGCACAAGCGGUGGAGCAUGUGGUUUAAUUCGAAGCUACGCGAAGAACCUUACCAGGUCUUGACAUACUAUGCAAAUCUAAGAGAUUAGACGUUCCCUUCGGGGACAUGGAUACAGGUGGUGCAUGGUUGUCGUCAGCUCGUGUCGUGAGAUGUUGGGUUAAGUCCCGCAACGAGCGCAACCCUUAUUAUCAGUUGCCAGCAUUAAGUUGGGCACUCUGGUGAGACUGCCGGUGACAAACCGGAGGAAGGUGGGGAUGACGUCAAAUCAUCAUGCCCCUUAUGACCUGGGCUACACACGUGCUACAAUGGAUGGUACAACGAGUUGCGAACUCGCGAGAGUAAGCUAAUCUCUUAAAGCCAUUCUCAGUUCGGAUUGUAGGCUGCAACUCGCCUACAUGAAGUCGGAAUCGCUAGUAAUCGCGGAUCAGCAUGCCGCGGUGAAUACGUUCCCGGGCCUUGUACA
rnacentral:rRNA from 2 species